CUACGGGCCGCUGCAGUGGGGAAUAUUGCACAAUGGGCGCAAGCCUGAUGCAGCCAUGCCGCGUGUAUGAAGAAGGCCUUCGGGUUGUAAAGUACUUUCAGCGGGGAGGAAGGGAGUAAAGUUAAUACCUUUGCUCAUUGACGUUACCCGCAGAAGAAGCACCGGCUAACUCCGUGCCAGCAGCCGCGGUAAUACGGAGGGUGCAAGCGUUAAUCGGAAUUACUGGGCGUAAAGCGCACGCAGGCGGUUUGUUAAGUCAGAGGUGAAAUCCCCGGGCUCAACCUGGGAACUGCAUCUGAUACGGGCAAGCGUGAGUCUCGUAGAGGGGGGUAGAAUUCCAGGUGUAGCGGUGAAAUGCGUAGAGAUCUGGAGGAAUACCGGUGGCGAAGGCGGCCCCCUGGACGAAGACUGACGCUCAGGUGCGAAAGCGUGGGGAGCAAACAGGAUUAGAUACCCGAGUAGUC
rnacentral:rRNA from 1 species